UGUGACAUCCUAGUUCCGGACUACUCGCGUAACCGUUCGAGCGUCUAAGCUGAUGCAGGUCCGCUCACGGAGGCAUGCAACUGGGAUCUGAUGCGAAAAGGAGAUGAAUCCACGUGUAGCGUGAAUGCGUAGCAUGGGAGAACACAGUUGCGACGCGGCUUUCUGGUCUGUACUGACGCUGAGGAUCGAAAACGUGCGAAGCAACAGGAUUACGAUACCCUGGUCGUCCACGCCGUAACGAAUGAGUGCUAAGCGUUGGAGGGUUUCCGCCCUUAAUGCUGCACUAACGCAUUAAGCCCUCCGCCUGGGGAGACGUCCCAAGGUUAAACUCAAAGGAAUUGCGGGGGGCCGGCCAACGGUUGAGCAGUGGUUUAUUCGAAGCAACGCGAAGGACUUUCCAGGUCUUGGCAACCUUUGCCACCCCAGGGAUAAGAGCUUGCCUUCGGGGGCAAAGUGACAGUUGGUCAUGGUUGUCGUCAGCUUCUUGCGUGAGGUUGUUGGUUUAAUCCCCCCACGAGCGCCACCCCUGAUUUUAGUUUGCCAUCAUUCAGUUGGGCCCCCUAAGGAGACUGCCGGUGCCAAACGGAGGAAGGUGGGGGAUGACGUCAAAUCAUCAUGCCCCUUAUGACCUGGGCUACACACGUGCUACAAUGGGAAGUACAAAGAGUCGCGAAACCGCGAGGUUAAGCCAAUCUCUCAAAUCUGUUCUCAGUUCGGAUCGCAGUCUGCAACUCGCCUGCGUGAAGCCGGAAUCGCUAGUAAUCGCGGAUCAGCACGCCGCGGUGAAUACGUUCCCGGGCCUUGUACACACCGCCCGUCACACCACGAGAGUUUGUAACACCCGAAGUCGGUGAGGUAACCUUUUGGAGCCAGCCGUAGAAUGUCCAUUGU
rnacentral:rRNA from 1 species